CGCUGCUCAAGUGAGGAGUGUCUUGUGCUGUAUUUAAAGCUAUUUGGACUUUGCUCUCACUUGAUCUGUUUUCUCUUUCUGCAUCAUCAUCGCAGUCAAGAAAGCAACAAACACGAUCUUCAACGCGGUAGUGCUGCAUAAUGGAUAGCAAAAUUAAAAGUGCUCAGAGGGAGGCAGAGGAUGUGAAAGUCAUUAUGCUGGAUCAUGCAAAUAAAGCAGAAGAACGUGAAGGAAAACUCAAGGAUCAGAGAGCUGAGCAACUUCAGUCCACUAGUAAAACUGCAAAGCUAAAAAAUGCAACAAAGCUGAAAGUGAACCAGAAAAUGCAGUACAUGCGGGAUAAUAAAGGACAUUUAAGCAUCUUAAUAGUCUCAGCUGCUAUUAUAAUUGCUGUGGUGAUUGCCAUGCUCGUCACCAAAGACAAAUAUGAUCACAGGCUCUCAGAAGUAGAAAGUGUCUUUGAAGAGCCAUAGCAUCAACUUGGACUGGAACAAGAAGAGGACAAAUCCCCACUACUACACCAGAACUGUCAGUUUGUUCAGGGGAGUAUGACUGACUUUACCAACACUUGGAACCUCUUUUGUCUCAACAAAACCAAUAUUACUGUGGAGAAGUCUUUUCUUGUUUUUGUAGACUGUUUAGGACCCACUUUACUGUAUAUUAGGUGUCUUUAACUAUGUACUUAAGCAUUUGAUACAAGGUACUUAUUAUGUACAUACAUGUUGUUGCAGUGCACUUACAUUUAAAGUACCUGCAUUAAAUUACCCUACCUCUAAACCUACCCAUACAACCUUACACAAUAAGUACAUUGUAUUGUAUGUAUUUUACUGUUAGUACAUAGUAGUUAAAACACAUAAUAUAAAGUUUGACCAUAGUUUUUAUGGGUUAGAUGUUUCUGGGUUGGGGGCAACAUGUUUAGCUGACAUUUAUUGAUUAUGUUUUAUGAUAUAUCUAAGCUAAGAUGAGAGAAAAUUAAUUAUUAGAAAGAAUUUUCAGUAACUUUUUUGUCAAACUACAUAGACUGCGUUCCAAACGGGAUAAAUCACCCUAAGAAGGGCACUUUGAAGGGAGAACAAUCGUGAUAGUCAUGCUUUAAGAUCGCUUCAAACUGAAUUUCCAAUAAAAAUGACUUGAAGUGUGAGUUCUGAAUUACCCUUAUUUCUGUGCCCCACACCUGUCAGCCUUUCAAAGCUCUCGCAGUGGAUGGUAAAGUCUUUUGAUGGGAAUAGGGAAUAUCACUUCUGAUGGAAUACACACUUAGAUUGUUUAGUGUCAUUUGAUAUGUUUAAAGGUGCACUAAGUAAUUUUUUGAGGAAUGUCGAAGUGGCUAACAUGGGCUUACACUGACACCUAGUGGUCUGGAUGCUGCAUCAUUCAAACACAGUGGUUUUCAGUUUCAGAUGCCAUUUAAGAAAUUCACUAAACCCAAUAAACCAGGAUUCAUUUGAUCCAUGAAUGAAAGUGUACGAUUACAGGGCAGUUAUUGAGAUUAAGCGAGUGGUAUUCAGCUGGUCAUGUGAUGCUAAUAUGGCUGCCCCCAUGAGGCGCCCCUGCCCCAUGUAGAAUAAAAGAGCUCUUAUAAGGCUACUGAUAUGACCAAACUCUUCAUCUCACAUGAGUGGUCACAAUUUCACACAUGUUUUAAAAGUACUAUUAAUUUCUUUUCAAGUAAAACUUUUUAAAUGAGGGGAAAAAAUGACUGCGUGCACCUUUAAAAUACUUAAAAAUGCACAAUCAUGCACAUUCAUGGUUAACUCAAGGAGUUUUAAGAUUGUUUGCAUUAUAAUUGCAUUCAAGAUUGCAGGGAAGGUUGUUCACCAAAACUCAUUUGGUGUGCUGUAACUUUGUCAUAUAAACAUGACUUUACCGAAAAGGCUACCACGAAAGACUUGAUCUCCAUGUAAAUAGUGCUGAUAGUUUGGUAUGUAAACAAAAGAAGAAGAAAAGCAAGGUCCAGUGCACAACAUCCCUUUUUCUGUGCAUUGUGCUAACAUCGGUGUAACA